CCCUGGGUGGCUCAGUUGGUAAAGCAUGGCACUUUCAAUGCCAGGGUCGUGGGUUUGAUUCCCAUAGGGG
rnacentral:tRNA from 1 species